GAUGAACGCUGGCGGCGUGCCUAAUACAUGCAAGUCGAGCGAACAGACGAGGAGCUUGCUCCUCUGACGUUAGCGGCGGACGGGUGAGUAACACGUGGAUAACCUACCUAUAAGACUGGGAUAACUUCGGGAAACCGGAGCUAAUACCGGAUAAUAUAUUGAACCGCAUGGUUCAAUAGUGAAAGACGGUUUUGCUGUCUCUUAUUGAUGUAUCCGCGCCGCAUUAGCUAGUUGGUAAGGUAACGGCUUACCAAGGCGACGAUGGGUAGCCGACCUGAGAGGGUGAUCGGCCACACUGGAACUGAGACACGGUCCAGACUCCUACGGGAGGCAGCAGUAGGGAAUCUUCCGCAAUGGGCGAAAGCCUGACGGAGCAACGCCGCGUGGGUGAUGAAGGUCUUCGGAUCGUAAAACUCUGUUAUUAGGGAAGAACAAAUGUGUAAGUAACUAUGCACGUCUUGACGGUACCUAAUCAGAAAGCCACGGCUAACUACGUG
rnacentral:rRNA from 1 species